AAACAAUUAUCUUCCCACCUGUGUGGGGAAUGCUCUGUUGUGGCAGGCUGGCACGCUCUCACUGAUGCCCUGAGCCUGGCUUACCCCACCUCACCCUGCCGACCUACCCACCCAUGCCUACCUCUCAGGAGCUACAGUCCAGCAUGUCCCAGCUCCACUUGUAUGCCAGGCUUAGAAAGGGGGCUUCCUUCCCUGCUCGAGAGCCCGUGGUGCCACCCCCGGCCCAGCCCAUCAGACCGCAACUCCUGAAAAGCCGCACCCACCCCGUCCACCAGGGGUAGGUCACGCCGGGACUCAGACCUGUCCACCUGCCCCUGAUGUCAAGCUUCUAAUUGCUCAAGCCGGUGUUUGCUCUUUCCUGCCCUUUUGCAAGCAAGGCAGGUAUGCAGCCCACGCUGCCCCUGCUGCCCUGCAGGUGGCCAGCUCAGACACUGUCCCUUUGGCAGGGACCAAGACGAGGCCUGCCAGAUCCUCCUGCAUCCGAGCCAGCUGCAGGGCCUCCCUCUCCCGGGCUGCCCCAAACCAGAGAAGGCCUAAGCUCCAGGCUCUGCAAGAACGCUGGCCGUCACCGCCGCGUGAAUCCUGCUGCUAUUUCUGUCACACCUCACUGCUGUCAGCAGGAACAGCUGGGUUGAAAGUACAAGGUGGAAGCGUCCCACAGAGCACCUUGCCCCGGGGCAGGUGUCCCCUGCCGCCGCCGCCAGGCGGUCUCUGUCCUCAGGAGGUGGCGGAGCAGGGCAGGUGUGAGAACCCUGCAAGCCUGGGCCCCACCCCUCAGGCCCACCUCCGAGUGUAUGCAUGCGACAGGCUUACGUGGGAUACGUGUAAGUACAUGCAUGUGUAUGUGGGCCCAGCACUGCACAAGUGUAUGUCAGUGUGUGUGUGUGUGUGUGUGUGCGUGCAUGGGCGCAGUACGUGUGUCUCUGCAUGCACACUGGUUUGCACGUGCUUAUCUCUGUGUGCACGUCUUUCUUUCCUUCUUUCUUUCUUUCCUUCUAUUUUUUUUCAUGGCUGCACCUGCAGCAUACGAAAGUUCCCAGGCUAGGGAUCGAAUCAGAGCUGCAGCUGCCAGUCUAUGUCACAGCCACAGCAAUGCCAGAUCCAAGCCACAUCUGCGACCUACACCACAGCUCACGGCAAUGUCAGAUCUUUAACCCACUGAGUGAGGCCAGGGAUCGAACCUGCGUCCUACAGUCGGGUCUGUAACCUACUAAGCCACAAUGGGAACCCCAGCAGGUGUACUUCCGUGUGUGCAAGUGUGUUAGGGGUGGGAACAAGGAAACCAGCAGGUCCGUAACACAGCUGUGCUGGGUUAGGGGGACCCUGGGAGGGGAACCACUGCCUGCAAGACAAACGGGGGGUGGGGAGCACACUCCCCGCCCCCCGCAUCUACUCAACAGCUCUGCCUGUUCUCCAUCAGCCGGCGCAGAGGCACGGCAGCCAAGGCAUGAGUUCUAGAGCCUAGAUCCCGGCUCCGCCAGCUCCCAGCCAUGAGACUUGAGGCAGAAGUGGCGACAGCUCCCUGGGCCUCCCUUUUCCCAUCUGCAAAGUGGGAACAAUCAGAGAACCGGGAAGCAGAGAGGACUCAAAACACCCACGCCGGGUGCCGAGACCACAUGGGCACCAGGCCAGCCCUUGAGGAUGGCGGCCUGCGCUGUCCUGGGGCUCCCCGACCUGUGACCUUGAGCUGGCCAUGGGCUGUGACCUUGAGCUGGCCGCGGGCUGCGUCCCUGUGCUAAUCCCUGUAACCUGCCCCUGGGAGCUGAUUCAGAGCCUGGGUCUCCGCAGCUGUGACGAAGUUGUAUGUACACUAAGAACCAGAGGAGUCACCCGCCACACCACACCGUGCCCACAGGGGAGAGGCCAGGUGACAUCAGCAGUUCCUUCACUGUGGCCACGGGAGAAAAAUACAUUUGAGUCAGAGAUCCUGACUGAAAGCGACACCCAGAUGCCUUCCAGGGAACGUGGUACUGGCUCCAGCCUGAAGAAUCCACGCAACGACCUCAUUUGUUCGGUUCGUCCAUAACCCCACUGGGGUGACAGUGGCCCAUUUUACAGGUGGGGAAACGGAGGCCCCAAGGUCUCUGGCUCAGGUCACACAGCUUCUGCAACGCACACCUGGGGACUCCUGAGUCCCUGUUGCAGCACAUUUCUGGGUGUCACCGUAGGAGGCAGAGGAAGAAGCUUUAAUGCCAGACCCAAGCAUGCUGCCUACAGCCCAGGCGGGUCCCCAGAGGGCAGUGCUAAGUGGCAGCUUUGCAGGACUAGAAAAGCUCAGACACAAAGGUGGUGUGAAACACUCCGCCGCAACGGCCACCCUGAACCCCCAAGCCACCCAGGUGACAGCCGGCGGGUUAGGGAUGUUUUUCAGCCAGGCUGUCCUGGUCCUGAGUCUCCUGGUGACAGCUCCCUUUGCUGGGCCUCGGGGGCUCCCUUUGCUCACACGCACUCCAGGGAACCCGGCCUGGAGUUACAGGUUCUGAAUCUUUCAGACACUCUGUUGCUGCUGUUCGCCUCUGACUGCAAGGUCCCCUCUCUCCUUCGAAGAGUCGUUUUCUCCCCAAUUCCAUCGCUGCCCUCAACCUACAGAAAUCACCCAGCCCUCCAUCAGCUAUGGGGCAGACACCCCCCAGGGCCCGGCCUUGCCACCCCGGCUGCCUCCCCGGGGCCCGUCAGUUGUCUCUCGGGCAUAGGAACGGUCCCCCCUUUGGCAGCGUCUCACAGUAUUUAUUGUUCUGCUCUGGGUGCAGUCUGGUCCUGGCGGCACCCCGGCGUCAGCGACGCAAACACCAUCACUCAUGCGGCAUAAACCUGUUGUGGCAAUUCCCCGCCUGGGCCCGCGAGAGGCGCCCAUCACUCUUCCCCGACGGCGCUCCAAGGCGCGGGGUGGCGGGAGAUGGAUGGUUCUGGGAAUUACCGCCGGCUGCAAAGUGGGGACCUUUCACCUCUGGGGAGAGGGGUCAAGUCACAGCCAUCGCGGGCCCGGGCCCCAGGGAAAUGAAGCAGGAGACCCCUGCUCGGGGCACGGCCCUGACGCCCCCACUACAAGCAUCUGGUCGUACUGCACGCAGGGGGAGCCCAGUCUGGCCUCCAGAACGAUCGAUUCACUGGGGCCGCCUGACAGAGCUCCAGGCAGGUGCUGUCUGUGGCUUUUGACAAAUGAGGAAUCGGAGACUGGGGGACACAAGACGAAUUGCCCCUGGUCUCCAGAUUUUCCUGUGUCCUUUCCGAGGGGCAAGCUGCCCCCUCAGAUCACAAACUCAGCUUCCCCCUCCCCCAGCCUCCCGGAGGCUAGGAUUAGGUCUUAAGAAGUUCCCGUUGUAGGAGUUCCCGCUGUGGCUCAGAGGCAAAGAAGCCGAUUAGUAUCCAUGAGGAUGCAGCUUCGAUCUCUGGCCUCGCUCAGUGGGUUAAGGAGCCGGUGUUGCCAUGAGCUGCGGUGUAGGUUCAGAUCCGGCGGUGCUGUGGCUGUGGUGUAGGCUGGCAGCUCUGAUUCGAUGCCUAGCCUGGGAACCUCACAUGCCAUGGCCCUAAAAAGGGAAAAAAAAUCAAUUUAAGACCCUUUACACCAGUGCAAAGAUUUCAGUGCGCGUUCUCCUUGGAAUCUGGAAACGCCGGGUCUUUGGUCAGCUGUCGGAGAGGAAAGGGUUCAGAAGCCCUGAGGGUCUGAGCGGCCUGCCGGGGUCCUGUGGCCUGGCCUAGGACCGGGGCCUGGACUUCAGCUCGAGCGCUCUCUCCUCAUCCGACGGAACCCCCCUGCCUCAGGAUACGUGGGAGAGGAGCUGACCAUGGCUUACGGGGGUGGGGUCAUCACUGUCCUGGACCUUCCCCUCCCAGGACGGUGCCAGCAGGACCACAGACCACCAGCAGCGCGGCCACGUCCUGAAUAACGCAGCGCCAGCAAGAGGGCAGCGUGCCCACCGCCAGGAGGAGGGCUGCUGGCCUGACCUAGAAACUUCUGAGCCAGGCUGAGCCAGGCCAGGCCAGGCCAAGGCUGUCCCCCUCACCCGGAGGUCACCUCCCUACCGUCCAGCCCUGUGUUGAGGCAGCACAGGCAGCACCCCCUGGACCGGGGGUGGAGCGAGGCUGUCACCUCCUCGCCACGAGCGGGGCGACGCCUGAGGCGGGUCGCCCACCUGGGCUCCAGCUCCUCGGCCUCAGAUGAGCGGGCCUUGCUGGAGAGACCUAAGCUCCUCCUCGCGGUCCGAGUGGGGUAAGGAGAGCCCUUCCCACAUUUAGGUCCACCCGGAACCUCAGAGUGGGAGCGUCUCUGGAAAGGGGGUCUUUCCGACGUAAGGAGCUCAGAUGAGCUCAUCCCGGAUUAGGGAGGCCAAACAUCGAAGCCGCCUGGUGUUCCGAAGAUGACGGUCACGUGACACCCGCAGAGACAGGAGUGACGUGGGCCCGAAGCACUACAGAUGGCUUGGAGCCCCCAGAAGCUGGGAGAGGCAGGAAGGACCCGCUCCUGGAGCCUCUGGAGGGAACAGGGCCCUGCCUCCGCCCUGAUUUUGAACUUCUGGCCUCCAGAACAGAGACAGAACUAACUUCUGUGAUUUGAAGACAGCUGGUUUGGGGUAGUGUGCAACAGCAGCCCUAGGAAACUCAAAGGGUCUGAAACCUCGAAUCAAGUUUACUGGGACUAUGCUGAGGGCAGGACCUGCCCCCGGGCCUUUGCACCUGCCGCCUGGUCUCAAAGGAGCCCUCCACAAGCACAGGGCCUGCCUGCUUCCUCCCUUCAGGCCUCUGCUCAAAGUCACAGCCACGCAGGCCUGUCUGCCCGCCCCACGGACAUUCGCCCUGGCCUCUCUUCUCCGCCCUGGCCAUAU
rnacentral:lncRNA from 1 species